AUUACCAACUCACAGGAACAUAUCAAAUACCACGUGAUGAUGAUUAUCUCCCAUUUGUCUUGCAGAUAUAUCUUAGCCUAUAUUUCAUGUAGGUCUGGAUCUUUAAUGGAUGUUUCUGCCUGCAUGUGUAGAGGAUUGAAGUAUUUAGCAAAGAAAACACAAAGUGACCAUAUAAGAGGGUUAAAUUAUUGUCAGUAUGACUAAAAUCUUAUGUGCAAACUGACAGGUGUUUCUUACAAUGUCAAAAAUUGUAUAUAUUUCACGUAAUAUGUCUUUUAUUUCUUCUAUUUUUAACAUUUGGGAAAACUUAAGUCUGAAAUCCAAAUGAAACAUAUUUUAAUAGUGUUUGUGUCCCACACUUUGGCUGGAACACUGGCGGCUGAUCAAGGUCAGUUUUCAGUCACACACAUAUUUAUUUUACAGCUCCAACAUAUUGACACUGUUCCUGCAGUCCUCUGUAGGUGGCUAUGGUAGCACUAAGACAACACUGCCACCUAGAGGUCAAACUGAAACAUUUUUGUUUCUUCUGCAAAGUUUGUAAGAUUCAAAAGAAGAUUAAAAAAAGUAACGUUUGUUUUGUAAGAUGAACAAUGUUACUGAGGAAGAAAAGUAGGAAAAAACAGCAGCUGGUGAUAAACUGGACUCACUCAGACUGACACAAGUGCAAAAAUAUAAACAGAAUUUUAUAGUUUCUACUUGUGGCCACUUUAUUAGGUAUAAGAUGCUUGUUACAUGUUCGGCGCCUUUUUUGUCACCUGAAACUUUGGAGGCUGUGAUGUAUUUGACGUUUGUGGAAAAAUGUGCAUGUAGAGCAGCAAAAUGCGUGCGUGUGUGGGUUUCCUCUUAUAAUCUAAAGAUGUAAAAUGUAAAGACAAUAAGCUGGCCCAGGGGAUCUCCAGGCCCCAAGGUUUUAGAUGUGUCCUUGAUUCAACACAGCUGAUUUAAAUGGCUAAAUGACCUCCUCAACAUGUCUUGCAGUUCUUCAGAGGCCUGCCAAUGAACUAAUAAUUGGAUUCAGCCUGCCGAGGCCUGGAGUUGUUCUAGUUGUUUCCUGGUCUAGUUGUUUGGCUGUCACUUCAGUUUAACCCACAACUAAUUCUAUGGUUGUGAAGGAAGGUAACAACAUGUUACCUGGCCAGUAAAACAUGUCAAAAAUUAUCUUUCACCAUCAGAUCCUGAGUCGUCUAUGUGCUAAUGAAGAUGAUAUUAUUAUGUUCUGUGAAGGCUGUUCGAGGCAACAGGUAGGCCUACAGGACAAAGUCAACGUUACGAUUCACACUAGAGUUUUAGCUACUGAUCAUUUUAUUUAUCAUUAAUUCUAUUCACCUUCAGCUUUAGCUUUCAGGCCCAUCCACCAAGCUGCUGCUGACUUCCCCUAUAUGCACUGAGCAUUUAUUUUCCACUCACCAUUUUCACUUUUUCAUUCUGCAGAUGUUUACAUAUCUCAACUAUGCUAGAUAGUCUCUAUUUUCUCUUCCACUGUUUGUGUUUGUUUCUUUACACCACCUCAAAUAUUCGUGCAAGAUUGCUUCUCCUCCCUGGGCCUGGUUCCGCCAUAGAUUUAUGAAGGGAGUUUGUCCUCCCCACUGCUUGCAGGUGCUUGCUUGUAUAUAAAUAAACUUUCAAUGUGGG
ensembl:lncRNA